rfam:Ornithorhynchus anatinus chromosome 7, whole genome shotgun sequence.
CCCCUCUCAGGGUCGCACCUGGAGAGUUUCCAGUACUCUACCAGUCUUGACUAUGGGAGGGAGAGUCAAGCGGAGGCCUACCCAUUCCCUUCCUAGCUUGGGCGAUGGCUAGUGAAUGGAAGGCAAUCUAUUACAAGU